UUUUGGGAAAUGAAUGUCACAACAAAGAAGUUCGAGUCUUCGACUAGGUCUACCUGCCAAAUCGCAUGGCCUACCCACUCUGCGUGAAUCGUCUUGCCGUUUAUAUUGCCAUUUUUGGGUAGACUUUUCAGAACAUUAAUGGCCGCUAUCAUCUUCAGUAACUAAUUUGAAUCCCUUCAAUUUCUGGUUUUAUUCAUUGACCUCCCCAAAUCACACACACAACGCACUAAUCUAGCUGAUUGUUUCGGUGAUACUAUCGAAGUAGGAGAUGUUAUUGACAAGGGGAGUGUCCCGUAUAUCGAGGACAUGUUACUGCCGGCGUCAAUGGACUUUCUCUUCUUUACGUAAAAACGAGCAGCAAUUGGUCCAGCAUGACAACCAAUUUCUCUCCCCCUUGCGCGCUUCUGAGGAGGUGAAUCAACUCGUUCAUUGAUUUGUAUUUGUUGAUAUUAGUGUCACACAUUUUAGGGUUGCUAUUGAUGAGAGUUGCUCGUUGAAGUUAAUUUGUAAAUUGUAAUAACUGGGUUACGGACUGAAGAGCCAUGGUUUAAAGCUGAAAUCUUUGUUGUCAUUAUUAAUUUUUUUAACCCGAAAGUCCAUAUGUAAGUAAAAUUAUUAAAAGGUAAUAUUGACAUUAAAUUUGUAUAACUAGACAGUUAUAAUCUCUAAUUUGGAGAUUUAUAGCGGAGGAUCAUUUACAAGUUAUUCAAGUUUGUUCUUUCUUCAUCCACACGUUUUUAGGAUCCUAUACUGUGUUUGUCUUGUUCUAGAAUCUAGACUAUUAAUAUUCGGAGCUUGGUGAUUUAAUAAAACAGGGUUAUAGGAAUUGCAAAGCUUGCCGAUUGCUUCGGGUGGUCUGCAUUAGGUUACAUAUCAGGGCUAUAUGUUGACAAUAGGGUACCAAGUAUCAAGAAAUGGUAAAAUGUUCCUGGUCAUAAAAGACGUGACUUGUCUUGUUAUUUGUUGGAAGGGAUGAAUUAAAGGAAUUUUGGUUGUCAAUUCAUCAGCAGCGCUGAAGGGUUUAAAAUUGGUUACUACUUGUGACGGCGGUCAAACACUUUGAAGAUUACCUGUCACGAAUAUUCACAUGCAUCUCCAGUUGUCCAAUCCAUGUACUGCCUUUGUCUUUCGUCUCAAGUCCUGAGAACCAUGAUUCUACUCUAAUAUGGUCAUCUUACUGUCGUAGCAUUUUUUAGGACUAGUAACUAUAAGUCCAUUUUCCUGAUGUACUUGAAUUGGUGGGAUUUUGCAUGUAAUUUUUAAAUUUUCUGAUUGUUUAUAUGGUAUUUCUCGUUGCUGCCCGUGAUUCGUAGGUUUGGCGUUUCAGAGCGAUUCAUUCUUUGGUUUCAAGUGCUCUAAGUGG
rnacentral:lncRNA from 1 species